rnacentral:ncRNA from 1 species
GCUAAGGGCAAACCGAUUGAAAAGUCGGGACGCAAAGCUUCCGGUUUAAGGGACAUGUUUACCUAAGAUAGCGGGGCCACCA